CUUUUUUGAGAAAGGGGAGAGUGCAGGCGGCAGCAAGGAGGCGGCCCAUCAGAAUCAGAUCCCCUCUCGUCGCCGGCUCCGGCGAGCGAUCGUGGGGAGGGAGGGAGCAUGCGGCAGCAGCACCACGCCUGCAGCCGGGCCCACCAGGUGGGCGCCCUCCUCCUGGUCGCCGCCACCUUCGUCCUCACCCGUCUAUUCGACCGCCUCCUCCUCCCCGACACAUCUGCUUCGUCAUCGUACUCCUCCUCCUCCUUCUUUGGAGCUGCAGACGCCGCACUCCGCAUCUAUGUCUACGCCGAGGGCGAGAUCGACGGCCUGCGCGCCCUGCUCCGCGGCCGCGACGGCACCGUCCCCGCUGCCACCUGCCUCAAGGGCCAGUGGGGCACCCAGGUGAAGAUCCACCAGUUUCUUCUCAACUCAAGGUUUAGAACACUCAACAAGGACGAAGCAAAUCUCUUCUUCGUUCCCAGCUAUGUUAAGUGUGUUCGCAUGACAGGGGCACUCAGUGAUAAAGAAAUCAAUCACACCUAUGUCAAGGUUCUCAGUCAGAUGCCAUAUUUCCGUAGAUCAGGUGGGCGUGACCACAUUUUUGUCUUCCCAAGUGGUGCUGGAGCUCACCUAUUUCGCUCAUGGUCGACAUUUCUGAAUCGAUCUAUCAUCCUUACUCCAGAGGGUGACCGUACUGACAAACGAGGUACAAGUGCAUUUAAUACAUGGAAAGAUAUUAUUGUACCCGGUAAUGUGGACGAUUCUAUGGUGAAGUCCAAUGCGCGUGCUGUCCAACCGAUCCCAUUAACGAAAAGGAAAUACCUAGCAAACUUCCUUGGACGUGCCCAGGGAAAAGUAGGCCGCCUUCGACUGGUGGAGCUUGCAAAGCAGUAUCCUGACAAGCUGGAGUCUCCAGAACUGAAGUUGUCUGGCCCUAACAAAUUGGGAAGGAUCGAUUACUUCAAGCACCUGAGGAAUGCAAAGUUCUGCUUGGCUCCUCGUGGCGAGUCGUCGUGGACACUUCGGUUUUAUGAAUCCUUCUUUGUGGAAUGUGUGCCAGUGAUCUUGUCAGAUGAAGUUGAGCUUCCUUUCCAGAAUGUUAUCGACUACAGCAAAAUAUCAAUAAAGUGGCCGUCAUCUAGGAUUGGGCCCGAGCUCCUCGGGUACCUUGAAUCGAUACCAGCUAUGAAGCAACUUCAUCCAGGCGCAGGCGCAGCUUUGCCAAAGAGAUCACCACUGCAGCUGUUGCAUCCGUCUUUCUGGGCUUUGGAUCUCUGUUCGUUCUCCUGGCAAGUGGCGUUUACUUCUGACGAUGACAGCUUGCAUAUGCAUGGUUUUGGCUUGCGAACUCUUACAGAAGCAGUAGAAUAUCUAAGAUUUUGAGUUUAGUCUUUUGCCCCACUUGAGCUGAACCGGUGACAGUUAAUCCUUUUUCUGAUUAUGUUAUGGUGACAUGCUUCAUCAAGAAAGAAAAAUGAGUUUCUUGAGGAAAGGAACCAUACUAUGUUCAGCCAACUUAGUUUGACAUGCAACCACCGACUGCAUUGGAUGUGAUCUCGUCUACAUUGAAUGUCAAUCGAUGAGAAUGAUUUAUGAGGGGCAAAGUGAAAAGAAUAGGUAACUAAUGGGGUGGUUCAUGAACUUUGUCCCUCUUAGUUAUAUUUUUCAAAAAUCGAUAGUUUUUUUCCUUUUACAUAAA